UUACAGCCAUAUCACAUUGAAACACCCAGUUCCCAUACAAUCACCGAAGUUAAGUAAUGUUGAGCAUGGUUAGUAACUAGAUGGGUGACGGCUUGGAAAUACUGGGUGCUGUAAG